UACGGAGGGGGCAAGCGUUGUUCGGAAUUACUGGGCGUAAAGGGCGCGCAGGCGGCUGCUCAAGUCAGGCGUGAAAAGGCCUGGGCUCAACCCCGGGAAUUGCGCUUGAGACUGGGCUGGCUUGAGUGCGGGAGAGGAUGGUGGAAUUCCCAGUGUAGAGGUGAAAUUCGUAGAUAUUGGGAAGAACACCGGUGGCGAGGGCGGCCAUCUGGACCGCAACUGACGCUGAGGCGCGAAAAGCGUGGGGAGCGAACAGG
rnacentral:rRNA from 1 species